rnacentral:lncRNA from 1 species
UUUUUUGUGUGUGUGUUUUUAGGGCUGCACCCGUGGCAUAAUGGAGGUUUGCAGGCUAGGGAUCUAAUGGGAGCUGUUGCCGCCGGCUUAUGCCACAGCCACACCAACUCAGGAUCCGAUCCAUGUCUGCAACCUACAUCACAGCUCACAGCAAAGGUGGAUCCUGAACCCACUGAGCGAGGCCAGGGAUUGAACCCCCAACCUCAUGGUUAUUAGUCGUCGGGUUUGUUAACCACUGAACCACAACAGGAACUCCUAGAACUAUUUUUAAUAUAGGAUUUUAAUCUAUAAAUUUGUCUAAACUGCUUUAGCUGCAUGCUUCAAUAUAUUGUGUGUUCAUUUUCAUUCAUUUCAAAGUACUUUCACUGUGAUUUAUUCUUUGGCCAAUUGGUUAUUCAGGAGGGUCUUGUUUAAUCUCCACAUAUUUGUGCAUUUUUCUGUUUUCCUUCUGACACCAAUUUUUAAUUUCAUUCUACUGUGAUUUAACAACAUAUUUUGAUUUCAGUGUCUUUCAAUUUGUUAAAACUGGUUCUAUAGCUUACAUAUUGUCUAUUGUGGAGAAUGUCCCAAGGGCAUUUGAAAAAAUGAGUGUCCUGCUGUUGUUUAGGGUGGAAUAUUCUAUAGGUGUUUAUUAAGUUUAGGUGGUUUAUAGUGUUUUUAAGGUUUCUCCCUCCUUAUUGAUCUUCCAGAUGUUCUCUGAAUUACUGAAGAUAGUUUCUGAUGAGAAGCUGAAAUCUUUUGAAUCAUGUAUUUUUCCUUCCAGUCCUGUCGAUUUUUGCUUCAUGAAUUUUGAACCUCAGUUAUUAGGUUGUUAUAUAUUUUGGAUAGAUUAACAUUUUAAAAUUAUUUUUAAAAAAUCCCUCUUUACCUCUAAACUAAAAUAGCUUAGUUUUAAAGCUCAUGUUGUCUGAUAAUAGUAUAGCCAUUCCAUUUAUUAAAACGACAAUAUAACUUUUUCCAUCCUUUCACUUUCAAUAUUUGCUUUGAAUCCAAAUUGUAUUUCCUGUAGACAGUACACAAGUGGAUUUUCUUACCAAUCUGAAAAUACAUGUCUUUGGAUUUGAUUACUGAGUUCACCUCUAAGUCAUCACUGAUAUAGUUGGACUUAUAUUUGCCAUUAUACUUUGGUUUUCUAUAUAUUUCAUCUUAUAGUCAUCUGUUCUUCCUUUUUUAUUUUUUAUUGAGUAAAUAUUUUCACAAUAAAGUUUUAAAUCCUUCAAAUAUGUUUUCACUACAUUUUUUAGUUAUUUUCUUAGUGGUUCAUUUAAGGCUAACAAUGCACAUGUGAACAUAUCAAAAUCUGUUUUAGAUAUAUACUGACCAAAUCCAGUGAUUAUAUAUAAUAUUACCAAAAAACUGGGAAAAAAAAAGAAAGAAGGAACAGUUAUAUAACUCACAUCCAUUUUUUUUACUAUUUUUUAUAAUAUAAUACUACAUCUAGCUAUGUUACAAAUGCCAAAAUACAUUGUUAUAACAUACUUUGUAUGUUUUUAUUUAUUUUAAAUAAGUUGAGAGAGUGAAGGAAAGCAAAUAUAUGUUUUUAGACUUUGUCAUUUAUUUUCAGUAUAAGGAUUUUCUUUUAGUAUUUUUGCAAAGGCAGGUAUAGGAGCAAAAAUUCUUGUUCUCUUACUUUGUAACCAUAUGAGAUAAUGGGUGUUCACUAAAAUUACUGUGGCCAUCACUUCAUGACGUUUGUCAGUUAGAUCACAAUGUUGUGCACUUUCAACAUAACACAGCACUGGACACCAAUUAUAUCUCAUCCAAACUGGAUGAAAAAAAUUUAGGCUGAAGACUUUACCACGAGAUGUUAUUAAACUCAAUUCUCUAAAGCAAAUAUCAGAAAACACAAUGUUAGAAACAAAAGUAAAUGACGAAUAUGUACACACUAUGAACCAAAAUAAGGUUAUCAUAGGUGGGAAAAAAAUGUCAGUUUAAUAAACCAUGCUCAAAUUUGGUGGUUUUUACGCUGAAAAUAUAUAAAAGCAAGUAUAAGUAGUUUUAAAAAUUAAAAAAAAAAGGUUUUAAAAAACAGUCAAGUGAAGUUGUGACCACCUCUGAUGAGAAACUAUGAUGCCAUCAGAAACGGAAGAAAAGCAUGCCUUCUGCUGGAUUAUUUCAAAGAGCCAAUUUGAUUGCCCAAAGUUGCAUUGCUAUAGACUAAAUAUGAGUCUUCUUUUGGCUCUACUUACUGUGUGUUAUAUGAUUAUAUGAAAUACUUCAAGUCAUUAACUCCUUUAACUUGUAAGUUUAAGAAAGAAAUUCCUAUUUUCACUUCUAAAUAAAAUCCUAACCCACCUGAAGAAAAUUCUAUGACAACUUAAUAAACUUAAUGUUCUCUAGGAAGAUAAUAAGAAUUAUGAUUUGAAUAUUUACUUUAAUAGAAUUAAAGCAUAUGUAUGCUUCUACAUUUUAUAGCGUGUGCAUUAUACUUCAACCAUCAAUUUGUGCCUCUGUAACCUUCAUUCUCAAUUCCUGAUUAUGAAGUUUCACUCCUCUAGUUAUCUAAUCCUGGGAGCCAGAAGGAAAGCUGAUUAAUUAGAAUUCAAUCAAACACGGCUUUGAGAUAAUUUUCUUUCUGCAAAUUGAUAAGGCAGAGGUUAGAGAAUGUGCUCCAGCAGGAGAGAAGAUUGCUUCCCGCUUCUGAUGCUUAAGAACUUAACAUUAUCAAGACAACUUACCUUUCCUGGGGGUCCCCCAGCCAAAAUCGCUAACGGUGUUGUGUGGGAAGUUUGCCAUUUCAUUAAUGAAAUCAGCUAGGCAGAAAUUCUUAAGGCUGUACAAUACCUGGUAAUCUCUUCCUAUUACAAAGUGUCCAUUCUUCAAUUUACUUCCCUUGGAAUUUAGUGUGUUUUUUUUUGGGGGGGGGGUGUAAUUUGGCAGGACAGAUUAUACCUUUAGGUUUAAGACAUCAGAGAAAACGUUAUCCCUUAAAUCAUUUGUUGAAUGUUAUUGGAAAUAAUUAUAUUUGUUUUCCCUCCAAACCGAGAAAAAUACACUGUUUAUAAACAAUAAAGUGAAAGUUGGUCACAGCACGAGUUACAUUUUUUAAUGUUUGUGCUUUAUUCCAAAUUAAUGUGUUUUUAAAUCCAUGGCUCGGAAGUUAAAUGCUGCCAAAGGAAACCAGUGGUGUGGAGAGUGAGAAGGAAGGUGAGUUCGCAGGAACAGGGUCACAGACUUGGCCCAGAGCAGCCCACCCCCCGCUGGGCCCACGGCAUCCGGUUCGCCUGGCCUCACAAGCAGAACACAGUUAAAUGAGGUCCCCAGGGGUCUGGGAGCGGCCUCUCUGCACACCACCCAGAGGGGGCCCUCAGCAGGUGCACUGGGCGGCCGGGCUCCCCCUCCACGUGGUCAGCAAACCGGCUCACUCGUCCCUCGUCCUGACAUCACCUACACCUCACACAGCGCCUGCGCGCCACAGCUCCUCACAGUACUGCCAACAGAGCCCCAGGACCCCUCCGCAACCGUGCCCCACCGUCCCCGAGCCUGGUCCCCGCAGAGAACCUGCCGCCCUGGACCCGGUCAACAGGGUCAAGUUGGCACAGAAAAGUGCCUCCCCCACGAUCCAUAGCACUUAGAGGGGAUGUACUACAUGAUGACAUAAGGGUUCGCAGCUGCAUAAUCGAGGGCCCCCCCUCGCUGACCGACCCCGGGUGGGGAGGGGGCCCCGCGAGGGGUUACCUCAGCCCCUCAGGGUCAAAAGCCACUGCCUCCCCCACCUGAGGAGUCCUACCUGAGCCGAGGCCGAGGCGCCGCCGUCCACGUCCGGGGGUCCCGGGUCCAGAGCCGAGGGGUUCCUGGGUCCAGAACCGAGGGCUCCCAGGUCCACAUUGAGGGGGUCCCAGGUCCACAGCCAAGGGGGUCCCAGGUCCACAUCCGAGGGUCGCGUCCAAGUCCCCGGCCCCACAUGGGCAGGUGCAAAGAUGGCGCUCGUGGACAGGAAUUCGCUCCUUUCUGUCCAAAUGAGGUUCUCUGAAAACCCUUAGAAGUGAGGUCAGGAACAACGUGCUGGAAACCGCAAGUGUAUCCGGCGGCCUCACGGGGCGGGUCCUCCCUCCGCCACCCCGAGCAGGGUCAGGUGGCCGGACCACAGGGAGCCGGCAGCGGGCAGCGCUGUGGGUCCACGGGGUGGGCGUUCCCAGAGGCCCCCACGCCCGGAAGAGCACGGCUCUGAGGAGCCUGGAGUCCAGCCAGACAGGGCUGGGGUCAGGGGUCAGAGGUCAGGAGGGGAGCAAAGGUCAGCCAAGGCUGAGCAGUGCGGCCACAGGGGAGGCGGCGCACCUGCUGACCCGAGAUGUCCCUCCCGCGGAGGGUCAGGGCUCAGCUGCCCCCCACCCUCCCACCGCCCGAUGCUCACCUCCGGCUGACCUGUGCACCCUCCCUACUGCCUCUACCUGAGCCCCGGCCUGCCUCCCAGCAAGAGACCCCACGGGACGACAGCCAAGGGGACAGGCCCCUGGGGCCACGCGUCUACCGCGCAGGAAGCCCUGACCCGGCGCCUGGAGGGCCGCUCUGUGCCCUUCGGAAAAGCCUUCUGCACAGCUUUCCUUUGUUCCUGAUAUUGCGAAAUCCCCCGCAUAACAUCCAUCGGUGUCAAGUGUUUAUUUUCCACUUGUUUAUGUCACAUCCUGUUCCCUCGUGGACCCACUUGGAGGUGAGUCUCAUGAAAACAGUAAACAGUCUGCCCUGUGCAGCCUCAUGGCCCAGAAAAAAAAGGUAAUAUUUUGGAAAUAAAUAUAAAAAUGCAAAAACAGAAAUAAUGAGUGCUUGCCUUGCAACCCCUCCUGUCUGUAUGGAAGACUCUUAAAUAAGGUCGUCUGCACCUCAGUUUACAAAAAGAAAGCUCUUUUCACUCCUUUCUGUUUCACCUACAUGUUCACACACUGAACUUCAAAGAAGGCUUUACUUUCCCCUAAAAAAAGAAGUAAAAUCUAAUUAAAUUUGCACUGAUUGCAAGGUACAUCUGGAUGAAUCAUUGCUGUACAGUAAAUUGGGCUGUGAAUCUUGAGAUUAAUAUCAGCUGUCAGAAAUGGUAGCUGAUCUUUCCAAUUCUCUCCCCAACCCAAUUUUUGAAAUAAAAAUAAGACUAAAUAACUCAAGAAGGAAAUAUACUUUGUAAAAGAAGCAGUUAAUUGAAAAAUAAACGAAAAUAUCACGUACCUCAACACCAACAUGAACCAAAAAAAAGUAAAAAAAAAAAAUGCAGGCGUUCCCAUCUUGGCUCAGCAGUUAACGAACUUGACUAGUAGCCAUGAGGAUGCAGGUUCAAACCCUAGCCUCUCAGUGGGUUAAGGAUCCAGCAUUGCUGUGAGCCUGAUGUAGAUUCCAAAUGCAGCUUGGAUCCUGUGUUGCUGUGGCUGUGGCAUAAGCCUGCAGCUACAGCUCCAAUUUGACCCCUGGUCUGGGAACUUCCAUAUGCUGCAGAUGCAGCCCCAAGAAAAGGCAAAAAAAAAAAAAAAAGCAGAAAGAAGGUAAUAAAACAAAUUUUAAGGCCACUAACAAAGAGAAAUAUUUCAAAUUAUGUAAUAAAUGAGAUCUUUUCAUGUGUAAAUAUGCCUCUGAAGCAUUGUAGGCCCAGAGUGACACAGCGAUGCUGUUUUAAACAAGAUAACCCUUUCCCCAAAAUGAAACUAAAUGCCCCCUUCCCAAAACCACCNUUUUUUUUUUUUUUUUUUUUUUUUUUUUUUGUCUUUUUGCCAUUUCUUGGGCUGCUCCCGUGGCAUAUGGAGGUUCCUCGGCUAGGGGUCGAAUCGGAGCUGUAGCCACCAGCCUAUGCCAGAGCCACAGCAAUGCGGGAUCUGAGCCACGUCUGCGACCUACACCACAGCUCACAGCAACACCGGAUCCUUAACCCACUGAGCAAGGCCAGGGAUUGAACCUGCAACCUCAUGG